rnacentral:pre_miRNA from 1 species
CCAACAUUCGAACUGUCGGUCUAUUGAGCAAUUACACCCGCUUGGUGGAAGAUCUUCCUUUGUUGU